rnacentral:tRNA from 1 species
GUCAGGAGCUCGAGUGGUCUAGGCGCUGUGUUAAGGUUUCAGUCUCUUCUGGAGGUGUAGGUUCAAAUCCCACUUCUGACA